rnacentral:rRNA from 1 species
AUUGAACGCUGGCGGCAUGCCUUACACAUGCAAGUCGAACGGCAGCACGGGUGCUUGCACCUGGUGGCGAGUGGCGAACGGGUGAGUAAUAUAUCGGAACGUACCUUAUCGUGGGGGAUAACGCAGCGAAAGCUGCGCUAAUACCGCAUACGCCCUGAGGGGGAAAGCGGGGGACCGUAAGGCCUCGCGCGAUUAGAGCGGCCGAUAUCUGAUUAGCUUGUUGGUGGGGUAAAAGCCUACCAAGGCGACGAUCAGUAGCUGGUCUGAGAGGACGAUCAGCCACACUGGGACUGAGACACGGCCCAGACUCCUACGGGAGGCAGCAGUGGGGAAUUUUGGACAAUGGGGGCAACCCUGAUCCAGCAAUGCCGCGUGAGUGAAGAAGGCCUUCGGGUUGUAAAGCUCUUUUGUCAGGGAAGAAACAGCAGCUCUAACACAGUCUGCGAAUGACGGUACC